GGUCAAGUAGCUCAGUUGGUUAGAGCACUGUCCCCGGAAAGUGGCAGGGGCCUGGGUUCAAUUCCCAGCUUGGUCA
rfam:Gymnopus luxurians FD-317 M1 unplaced genomic scaffold GYMLTscaffold_64, whole genome shotgun sequence.